AUUAAUGUCCCCCAUGUCCCCCUCCCCAAGUUCCGCCGCCACUGAGAGCGACCUACUUAAGACAAUGUCGGAACGAAAUGAUUUUCAUUCGUCUUGCUAAAAAUCGUGUAAUUAACUUGGCAUUAACUGCGGAAGUAAAGAAAGUGACAAAGAAGAGCAUGAAGGUUCGUAGUUCCGGGCCGGAUACGCCAGCCGCCGCAGUCAUGCGGACCCUGAAGUGGUUACAGGUCAACGUGCGGAGGUCGGCCGGGGUCGGGCCUUCCCUAUCACGACAAGAAAUAUAUGCACGCAUUGACGUGGAGGGAGCCAAGCUCCGCGUCGUGGGGAAGGAAUUCCCGGCGUGGGUUCGGGCUUAUCGGCGUGGUGACGCCUUGGUUGCAGCGGUACUGCUGCACCGAACUUUCGCCAAAUUUGUUGUUCCAGCCUCUGUCGGAUAACGUCCAAAAAUCAUCCAGGAUUUGAUGCUCCUGCAGUCCAAUUAAAUUUAAAAUUUACAAUUUGAUUGUAAUAAAAAAUUCCUAUUUUACUGACUGCAUUGAAUUAAAAAUUAAAUACUUA